rnacentral:rRNA from 1 species
CCUACGGGGGGCUGCAGUGGGGAAUUUUGCGCAAUGGGCGAAAGCCUGACGCAGCAACGCCGCGUGGGUGAUGAAGGUCUUCGGAUCGUAAAACCCUGUCGUUGGGGACGAAGGUGGGGGCGUUAAUAGCGUUUCUGCUUGACGGUACCCGGAGAGGAAGCCCCGGCUAACUCUGUGCCAGCAGCCGCGGUAAUACAGAGGGGGCAAGCGGGGCUCGGAGUUAUCGUAGGUGGUGGGCGAGGAGGCGGGUGGAAGCCCCGGGCUCAACUUGGGAACUGCAUCUGAGACUGGAAGGCUAGAGUACUGGAGAGGGUGGUGGAAUUCCUCGUGUAGCGGUGAAAUGCGUAGAGAUGAGGAGGAACACCAGUGGCGAAGGCGGCCACCUGGACAGUAACUGACGCUGAGGCGCGAAAGUGUGGGUAGCAAACAGGAUUAGAUACCCGAGUAGUC